GACGAACGCUGGCGGCGUGCUUAACACAUGCAAGUCGAACGAAGAGCGAUGGAUGCUUGCUUCUAUCAAUCUUAGUGGCGCACGGGUGAGUAACGCGUAAUCAACCUGCCCUUCAGAGGGGGACAACAGUUGGAAACGACUGCUAAUACCGCAUACGAUCUGACCUCGGCAUCGAGGAUAGAUGAAAGGUGGCCUCUACAUGUAAGCUAUCACUGAAGGCGGGGAUUGCGUCUGAUUAGCUAGUUGGGGGGGUAACGGCCCACCAAUGCGAUGAUCAGUAGCCGGUCUGAGGGGAUGAAAGGCCACAUUGGGACGGAGACACGGCCCAGACUCCUACGGGAGGCAGCAGGGAGGAAGCUUCCGCAAUGGACGAAAGGCUGACGGAGCAACGCCGCGUGAGGGAUGACGGCCUUCGGGUUGUAAAGCUCUGUUAAUCGGGACGAAAGGCCUUUUUGCGAAUAGUGAGAAGGAUUGACGGUACCGGAAUAGAAAGCCACGGCUAACUACGUG
rnacentral:rRNA from 1 species